rnacentral:rRNA from 1 species
UACGAAGGGGGCUAGCGUUGCUCGGAAUUACUGGGCGUAAAGGGCGCGUAGGCGGAUCGGACAGUCAGAUGUGAAAUUCCUGGGCUUAACCUUGGGGCUGCGUUCGAGACGGGUUGUCUUGAGUGGGGAAGAGGGUCGUGGAAUUCCCAGUGUAGAGGUGAAAUUCGUAGAUAUUGGGAAGAACACCGGUGGCGAAGGCGGCGACCUGGUCCUUUACUGACGCUGAGGCGCGAAAGCGUGGGGAGCAAACAGG